AUCCAGAUGACGAGUCCCAAAUAGGACGAAAUGCGCCUCCUGAAU
rnacentral:hammerhead_ribozyme from 1 species